ensembl:lncRNA
GUGCACUGUUAUCUCGACCAUUAACUGCUACGGGGCACUCUGAGAUCUCUGACUCAUGUGUAUAAUACAUUCCUGCCACUUUCAUCUCCAUCCAGUCUACUCUUAUGGGAAAAGGCGUUGUUUAUCUUUUAAAAUGUUGUCUAAACUACACCUUUAAUCUGCAAAACUUGUAUCUGCACUCUUAGAAAUGAUAAAAAAAUGGUUUCUAAAGGACGAAAUGAAAUGAAUGCAUGUUUAAACUUACAGCUCGUUUGUGUUUUUCAAAAAUGCUGGAACAACAACAUGGACAACCAAACGUCAUUUGGGAAGCAGAUCUGAAUGAAGCCUGGAAGCAGAUCGCAUUUGGAUUGGGUUUUGUUCGGGCUGAGGAAUGUUACUUCUGCUCCAAGAAAAGCUGUAGGAGUACAUCCUACUUGACAAAAUCAUGUUCACGAUCUGAUUUACUGGUUGCCGGAACCUCUUUCAUUUCAUAUUUACCGUGAAUGAAUUCAUAAAAGUCACGAGUGUGAGUUGUUGAUGACAAAAUGUUACUUUUUGGGUGAGCUAUAAAAUAAUUAUUUUAGCUCUGAUAUAUUAUUGUUUUGAGUUAUUGUUGAUAUUUAAAUUAUUAAGCUUUAAAAAUAAAAGUAUUGUGUUUAUUUGCAUGUUAGUUUAUAUUACAGUGACUUUAAAAUUGACAUUGACUACUGAAAUGUUAGUUUCCAGAGGGUUUGACACACAUCAGUCUUCCACAGGUGUCAUUAAUGCUGACAGGCAAUAUAGAGGCUGUUUUUCCUGAUUCAGCUGAUUCUUGGUCAGUCGAGUUUGCUUUUUUAAAAUGGAAUACAAAGAGCAACUUCUUGUAAGUACACUUGUGUUUUCUUCCCCAUUCACAGAAUAUAUAUAUAUAUAUAUA